AACGCACCUUGCGCUCCUUGGCAUUCCGAGGAGCAUGCCUGUUUGAGUGUCAUGUUAAUCUCAAUCCCUUGGGUUUGUUAUGAACUCUUGAGAUUGGACUUGGAGGUUACUGCUGGCUUCACCGUCGGCUCCUCUUGAAUGUAUUAGCUGGGCCUUUAGCCUCGCGCUCGUGGUGUGAUAGUUUAUUCACCUUGAGUGUGGCUUGUAUGGGUCUGCUUCUAAUCGUCUUAAAACGACAAUACCUUGACUCUCUGACCUCAAAUCAGGUAGGACUACCCGCUGAACUUAA
rnacentral:misc_RNA from 1 species